UACGAAGGUGGCAAGCGUUACUCGGAAUUACUAGGCGUAAAGGGCAGGUAGGCGGUUUUGUAAGUCUGUUGUGAAAGCUCCUUGCUUAACGGGGAGAGGCCAACAGAUACUGCGAGGCUUGAGUAUAGGAGAGGGUACUGGAAUUCCCGGUGUAGCGGUGAAAUGCGCAGAGAUCGGGAGGAACACCAAUGGCGAAAGCAGGUACCUGGACUAUUACUGACGCUCAGCUGCGAAAGCUAGGGGAGCAAACAGG
rnacentral:rRNA from 1 species